rnacentral:lncRNA from 1 species
GUCUGAUUCUUCUCCUUCAUAUAUGAAGGAAUAGGAAAAACUAAAUGAAAAUACUGUAAACAUUUUAAUAGGUAAGAAUAAUUUAUUUGUAUCUCUAGGUAAAUAUUUCUAGUAAGCAAUAUCAUGUAUCUUCUAGAAAUUUUCUCUGAAACCAUUCUUGUUUGAUUUUGUUUUGUUUUUGAGACCCGGUCUCACUAUGCAAUUUAGGUUGUCCUUGAGCUCACUGUGUAGCCCAGCCUGACCUCAAACUCACAAAUAACGCUCCUGCCUCAGUCUGGAGUGCUAGGAUUAUAGGCAUGUGCCACCACAUCCAGCUUCUGAAACCAUUUUAUCCCCUUAGAAAAAUGAAUACCUCUGUCAUAUGAACUACACACCAGCCAUACCAACUUAUAAGAAAUACCACAUUUAAAUAGUUGUACUUGUUUAUUAAUUUAUUGAUCAUAUUAAAUGACAUUACUGCAUAUCAGUCAGAUAUGGUGAGCCAUCAUGGUAAGCCUUGACAUAGGCCUAGCCAUGGUUGAACUUUGAGUCACCCCGCCGGAACGGAUGUGCUGUAGCCCAUGACAACGGGCUGGUUCAACUGGUGGUCUGACCUGUUGCCUAGCAAAUGUAGCCCAUAAUACUUGUAGAACCUUGUGACCUUUCCAGUCUGCUACAUCCUGUUUGUACUUUACCUUGUGACCUUUCCAGUCUGCUACACCCUGUUUGUACUUUUGGUUUCGGUUUUAGCCUAUAUAUACCCUACCCUGAAAAAUAAACGGGGCCUUGCUGCGGUAGAGCAUGAGCCUGGAACUAAGUUCGUGAAACGGCUCUCCCGUUGUUCUUCCCUCGGGUUUCGGACCUGCUGGCAGGAUUCUGACGUUGCGGCUCGCGACAAGUGGCGCCCGAACAGGGACUCGAGUAAGAAGGACAUCAAGGAGAGCGCCCUGCGAUCCAGGGCACUACAACAAGAACCACGACUGAUCCCCACGGCUCCUGCUGCCUCUCUAGGACCUGGAAUUGAGACACCUAGAAAAUGACAACUUGUGAGAGAGAAAAAAAGUAAUCUCCAGGAAUUAGGAGGGAACUGCCAGGAAAACUACAAUUCACAGAGAAGCUGAAGAAAAUUGACAGCAAAGCAGAGAUAAGAAUGAAGCAGUCUGGAAUACAAACUCUGGGAAAGAGAACCUGUCUCAGAUAAAACAAGGUAA